CAGUAGCCGCGGUAAUACGGAGGGAGCUAGCGUUGUUCGGAAUUACUGGGCGUAAAGCGCACGUAGGCGGCUAUUCAAGUCAGGGGUGAAAGCCCGGGGCUCAACCCCGGAACUGCCUUUGAAACUAGAUAGCUUAAAUUUUGGAGAGGCGAGUGGAAUUCCGAGUGUAGAGGUGAAAUUCGUAGAUAUUCGGAAGAACACCAGUGGCGAAGGCGACUCGCUGGACAAGUAUUGACGCUGAGGUGCGAAGCGUGGGGAGCAAACAGGAUUAGAUACCCCGGUAGUCCCUGUCUCUUAUACC
rnacentral:rRNA from 1 species